AGCUUUGCGCAGUGGCAGUAUCGUAGCCAAUGAGGUUUAUCCAAGGCGCAAUUAUUGCUAAUUGAAAACUUUUCCCAAUACCCCGCCGUGACGACUUGAAAUAAAUAAAAGUUGUGGUUAUUUGAGAUUUGCAUCAACAA
ensembl:snRNA U4 U4 spliceosomal RNA